ACAUCCAGAGAACUUAGCAGAGAUGCUUUGGUGCCUUCGGGAACUCUGAGACAGGUGCUGCAUGGCUGUCGUCCCAGCUCGUGUUGUGAAAUGUUGGGUUAAGUCCCGNAACGAGCGCAACCCCUAUCCUUUGUUGCCAGCGAUUCGGUCGGGAACUCAAAGGAGACUGCCGGUGAUAAACCGGAGGAAGGUGGGGAUGACGUCAAGUCAUCAUGGCCCUUACGAGUAGGGCUACACACGUGCUACAAUGGCGCAUACAAAGAGAAGCGACCUCGCGAGAGCAAGCGGACCUCAUAAAGUGCGUCGUAGUCCGGAUUGGAGUCUGCAACUCGACUCCAUGAAGUCGGAAUCGCUAGUAAUCGUAGAUCAGAAUGCUACGGUGAAUACGUUCCCGGGCCUUGUACACACCGCCCGUCACACCAUGGGAGUGGGUUGCAAAAGAAGUAGAUAGCUUAACCUUCGGGAGGGCGUUUACCACUUUGUGAUUCAUGACUGGGGUGAAGUCGUAACAAGGUAAGCGUACGUGU
rnacentral:rRNA from 1 species